rnacentral:rRNA from 1 species
GAAAUAUCAUGAUAUUUAUUGGAUAAGUACUAUAAGGAGCAUUUUGUUUUAACUAUAGUUUAGUUGGUACCGUGAGGGGAGGCUUAGUAUUUAGUUUCAAGAAGAAAUUUAAUUUUGUACCUUUUGUAUCAGGGGCUAUCAAAAUUUGUAAGUUAGUGUUUAUGGUCCCGAAGGAGGAAGAGUUAAUUGUAUGUUACUGUUUAUGUGGAAAAAUGGAAUUGUAAACGUAUAGUUAGAGGUGAAAUGCCAGCCGAUUCUUAUAUAUCUGGUUCUUUUCGAAACAAAAUCAAUUUGAUCUCUUGUUUAGUGAUUCAAGAGUUGUAUUUUUAGGGGGAUGAGCUCUUAAAAAUAAAUUGUAAGGUGGAAGAUUUGCGGUCAAUUUGACUUUUAUUUAGGCUUAGAAUCAGCCAUUUUUUUAAAUCGUUUUAGAUAAUAAGGUCUUUGUAAGUUAUUUUUGUGCUGCCUGCAAUUAGUUUGUAGAAAGGUGAUGGUUUUAAUUUUUUGUGUUAUUUAAUAAUGUUUGUAUUAGUAUAAGUUGUGUGAGGUUAAGUUAAUUAGAAUCUUUUGUUAUUAUAUCAGUUAAUUUAGUAAGCAUACUUAAGGAACUCGGCAAAUUUUACUUCUGCCUGUUUAUCAAAAACAUGUCUGUGCGGAUAAAUUGUACAGUCUGACCUGCCCCCUGACGAGUGUUAAAGGGCUGCGGUAUCUCGACCGUGCUAAGGUAGCAUAAUCAAUAGUCUUUUAAUUGAGGUCUAGUAUGAACGGUUGGACAGGAGGUGAGCUGUCUUAAGUAUGUAUUUUGAAUUUUACUUUUAAGUGAGAAGGCUUAAAUUUUGUGGGGGGACGAUAAGACCCUAUAAAGCUUUACUUGUUAGCUUUUAAUUUUAAAAGAUUUAGGUGGUUUAGAUUUUGGGGGCUAAUUAGUUUCGUUGGGGCGACGGGAAUAUAAAUUGUAACUGUUUUUGACGGUAAAACAAAUAUUUUUGGAUAAUUUGAUCCUUUAUAGAGAUUAAAAGAUUAAAGUUACUUUAGGGAUAACAGCGUAAUUUUUUUUGAGAGUUCAUAUCGACAAAAAUAGUUGCGACCUCGAUGUUGAAUUAAGGUGCCGUCAAGGUGUAGCAGUUUUGACAGUGAGUCUGUUCGACUUUUAAAACCUUACAUGAUUUGAGUUCAGACCGGCGUGAGCCAGGUUAGUUUCUAUCUUCUACUUUAUUGUGUGGUUGCUCUAGUACGAAAGGAGAAAGCGGCCGGAAUAUUUCUUUGUGUUUGAUGAAUAUUA